AUACAGCUAACGAGUCCCAAAUAGAACGAAACACGCGUCCUGGAC
rnacentral:hammerhead_ribozyme from 1 species